UACGAAGGGGGCUAGCGUUGCUCGGAAUCACUGGGCGUAAAGCGCACGUAGGCGGCUUCUUAAGUCAGGGGUGAAAUCCUGGAGCUCAACUCCAGAACUGCCUUUGAUACUGAGGAGCUUGAGUCCGGGAGAGGUGAGUGGAACUGCGAGUGUAGAGGUGAAAUUCGUAGAUAUUCGCAAGAACACCAGUGGCGAAGGCGGCUCACUGGCCCGGUACUGACGCUGAGGUGCGAAAAGCGUGGGGAGCAAACAGG
rnacentral:rRNA from 1 species